rnacentral:lncRNA from 1 species
GCUGCCUUGGCCUAUCUUUAUGUAGUGGAAGGCCUUCUAAAGAGGAUUGGAUUAAUUUGCUGCAAAAGAUUGAAGCUAGACUAUCUGUUUCGAAAGAAAAACUUCUCUCAUUUGAAGCUAGAGUCGUUCUUAUCAAAUCUGUAUUUAUGGCCCUACCCAGUUUUCAAGUUUUCAACUUGGGUCAUCAACAAAAAAAUAGAAAGAUACACGAGAUCUUUCUUAUGGGAGGGAGCACAGAAUUGUCAUGGCUCCUGUUGCAAGGUGAAUUGGAGU